rnacentral:rRNA from 1 species
AGCGAACGCUGGCGGCAGGCCUAACACAUGCAAGUCGAACGGACCCAUCGGGGUUAGUGGCGGACGGGUGAGUAACACGUGGGAACGUGCCUUUAGGUUCGGAAUAGCUCCUGGAAACGGGUGGUAAUGCCGAAUGUGCCCUUCGGGGGAAAGAUUUAUCGCCUUUAGAGCGGCCCGCGUCUGAUUAGCUAGUUGGUGGUGUAACGGACCACCAAGGCGACGAUCAGUAGCUGGUCUGAGAGGAUGAUCAGCCACAUUGGGACUGAGACACGGCCCAAACUCCUACGGGAGGCAGCAGUGGGGAAUCUUGCGCAAUGGGCGAAAGCCUGACGCAGCCAUGCCGCGUGAAUGAUGAAGGUCUUAGGAUUGUAAAAUUCUUUCACCGGGGACGAUAAUGACGGUACCCGGAGAAGAAGCCCCGACUAACUUCGUGCCAGCCGCCGCAGUAAUAC